CAAAAUAAAUAGCCUCUUUCAUUGCUUUUCUGGGUUCAAUUUGAGAGGGACGUGUUAUUUUAUCUCGUGUCAUCGUCGAAUUCACUGAGGAAAUCAGUGACUUAGGACGAGUGUGAUUUUCUAAAACACACUCAAUAUGAGAGCAAAGUGGCGUAAGAAGCGUAUGCGAAGGCUAAAGCGAAAGCGCAGGAAGAUGCGUGCAAGGUCCAAGUAAACUGAAUACGCAACAGUGGAAGUUCUUGACACAAAAAAACAUUGACUCUCCAUAAUUGCCUGUAUUCUAACCUUUAAACAUUUAUGUUAUGUAUUAUAAGGAUUUAAAUUUCGAUUUCUUAAUAAAAUUGAAAAUCUAAAUAAAA